UGAGCUGGAAUUUUGAUGGAGAUUGC
rnacentral:piRNA from 1 species